rnacentral:rRNA from 1 species
CACGUAGGCACCAAGCGUUGUCCGGAAUUACUGGGCGUAAAGAGCUCGUAGGCGGUUUGUCGCGUCGUCCGUGAAAACUUGGGGCUCAACCCCAAGCUUGCGGGCGAUACGGGCAGACUUGAGUACUGCAGGGGAGACUGGAAUUCCUGGUGUAGCGGUGAAAUGCGCAGAUAUCAGGAGGAACACCGAUGGCGAAGGCAGCUCGCUGGGACGGUACUGACGCUGAGGCGCGAAAGCGUGGGGAGCGAACAGG